AGCAGCCGCGGUAAUUCCAGCUCCAAUAGCGUAUAUUAAAGUUGUUGCGGUUAAAAAGCUCGUAGUUGAAUUUCGGGGUCAGUAGGCUGGUCGUGCCACGGGUAUGUACUGGUCUUACUGAUUCCUCCUUCCUGAUGAACCGUAAUGCCAUUAAUUUGGUGUUGCGGGGAAUCUGGACUGUUACUUUGAAAAAAUUAGAGUGUUUAAAGCAGGCUAACGCUUGAAUACAUUAGCAUGGAAUAAUGAAAUAGGACGAUCGAUCCUAUUUUGUUGGCUUCUAGGAUUGACGUAAUGAUUAAUAGGGAUAGUUGGGGGCAUUAGUAUUCAAUUGUCAGAGGUGAAAUUCUUGGAUUUAUUGAAGACUAACUACUGCGAAAGCAUUUGCCAAGGAUGUUUUCAUUAAUCAAGAACGAAAGUUAGGGGAUCGAAGACGAUCAGAUACCGUCGUAGUCUUAACCAUAAACUAUGCCGACUAGGGAUCGGAUGAUGUUAAUUUUUUAAUGACUCAUUCGGCGCCUUACG
rnacentral:rRNA from 1 species